ensembl:lncRNA
CUGAAUACCGGAGGGGGGUGUAGGACAUCCCAUCUCUCUGGCUACAAUGCUUAUUUGUAUGGCUUCCAAGGGGUGUUGAUGAUGAACCUCUGUUAGGAAUACAAUCCUGUCAGCCACACAGGAUUACUCAUGUGUCAAUGACUAUCUGGGAGGACGUAAAGAGGAGUAUCCUCCCACGUUGUGAAGGGUCAAAACUGAACCUGGAAUUUCACAGAAGAGCUGAGCUUGUGGCCCAGAGUCAUCAGAGGCCACUUAAAUGUCUG